rnacentral:rRNA from 1 species
AUACGGAGGGAGCAAGCGUUAUUCGGAAUCACUGGGCGUAAAGGACGCGUAGGCGGGUUUGUAAGUCAGGUGUGACAUCCUACAGCUCAACUGUAGAACUGCACUUGAAACUACAGACCUAGAGUAUGGAAGGGGCAGAUGGAAUUAGUGGUGUAGGGGUAAAAUCCGUAGAUAUCACUAGGAAUACCGAAAGCGAAGGCGAUCUGCUGGGACAUUACUGACGCUGAGGCGUGAAAGCGUGGGGAGCAAACAGGAUUAGAAACCCUAGUAGUCC